GAUAGGAUUAUUUUUCGUUUUUCCGUAUCUAAUGUUUGACCAUUCGUCUUAUUUGAAAAAAAUUUUGUGAUUAAUAUUUUUGUUCUUACUAGAUGAUAAAACAUAAAUAGUAUUUUAUGCGUGACUAAUUUUUUUAAAUUUUUAUACAAUUUUUUCAAAUAAUACGAAUGGUCAAACAUUGGACACGGAAAAACA
rnacentral:pre_miRNA from 1 species